GUAUUUCCAACUUAAACGGAAUAACGGUUCAAGGAACAGAGUCUUCCAUCCGUAGAAUAUAGAGGGCUCCUCUAUUUCAGACAUUUAGGCACAAGCCCUUCCAUUCUGUCUUAUCCAGACAAUCAUGUACACAUAGGUGACCCCUUAAAAUGAAGCAGAGAGGCAGGACCAUGGAAGAUGACAAAUUCCAGUCGUCACUACUGAUGUCCAGAAAUGCAUGGUGGCCUAGCGGAGGGACCGUGAACUGGGAGUCAGGAGUUGUGGGUUUUAACCCUGGCUCCAACCUUCCCUGCUGUGGGACCCUGUGCGAGUCAAUGAUGAUAAUUGCGAUAUUUGUUAAGCACUUACUAUCGGGCCAGGCACUGUUCUAAGCGCUGGGGGUAGGUACAAAAUAAUUGAGUUGAACACAGUCCUUGUCCCUCAUAGGGAUCACAGCCUUAAUCUCCCUUUUACAGAUGAGGUAGCUGAGUGAUUCGUCCGAGGUCGCACGGCAGACAAGUGGCACAGUCGGGAUUAGAACCCUGGUCCUUCUGACUCUCAGGCCUGUGCUCUGUCCACUAGUGCAAAAUGGUGAUGGACUAUAUUUCUCCCCCCAUCCCUAGACAGCUCCAUAUAGGACAGGGACCCUCUCUGACCUGCUUGCAGUAUACCUAUUCCCAAUAUUUAACGGUCCUUGGCACCUAAUGAGCAUUUAACCAAUACCACAAGUAUUAUUUUAUCAUUGUUAUCAUCCUGGGCCUCACCACAGCUUCAGCCUGGCCUCCGACUUUUAGCUCCCCUUGGCCAGGCUGGUUAUCUGUCCCGGUCUCUGUCCUUUAGAGCUUCCGGUGAAGUGCAGACCCCAGGGAAACGGCGGCUUUGUAUUCCGAUCUCUUAGGCUGUUCCCCGGGAAUAUUCUCCUUUCCCUGGCAGCCGUCAAAAAAGAGGAGCGGCGGUAACAAGAGUAGGUCAAAAUGCGAACACUCGUGGCUAUAUCUGGAUGCCUCCUCUAAUUCCGCCUCGUACACCGGAGCAGUCCAAGGGGGUGUUUACUCGAAUCCUGCUUCUUGGCAGUCAUUUUCAUCUGGCCUCAUCCUCGCCGUGCCACUGAGUUUCUUCUGGCAGUACCAGUUAAGGGUAUUGGAAACAGCCCUUGAAAAUAAAGAUCGGAAAUCCACUCAGGAGAGAAGUAACAGGCUCUUCAUUCUAAUGGGUCUCCGAUGUGAUUGGCAGGUGUUGUGGACCACCUUUAGGGCAGACACUGCAAAUGUGCAUUUCGGCUUAAGCCGUCAGUGAAGAAGGUGGUGUCUGCUGUGGCAAGAUGCGAGCUGGCUGGAAAUACUGAUGGGAAGAGGAGUGAGGCAUGGGGUAAGUGCAUAGUCAGAUGACACUUUUGCGUUGUCACAUGCGCGUAAGCACUCUGGAGUGACGCUGCCUGAUGCCCCGGUCACCUCCGGGCACCAGGAGCCACUCCAGG
rnacentral:lncRNA from 1 species